CAGAAUCCAGAGGGAAAGAACAGAACCUCGGCAGGUGCAGUCAACUAUGACAUCAGUGAAAGAGCCUCUGGCAGGCACAAGUGCCUGGAGCCAGGUGCCCAGGAAGAGCAGACUCCAUCCUCCACCUGUCAGAAGCCCCGCACGUUUCCUUCCAAGUCAGACUCCUGGCUUCUGUGUUCUACAUGGCUGAGCAUGGCCAACACAAAGGCAGCAGUUUUACCAGUGCCAGACUGAGACUGGGCAAUUAAGUUCUGUGGGCUGCACAAGAAAACAAACUGUUUAGGAGCUUAAAUUUCAGGUUCAAAAAAAAGAACAAAGUUAAGCAGAUCAGGAGAGGAUUUACUGACAGCCAAACCUACUGGCUCCAUCAUUCAUCCUCCUGAGCAAGCUGAGAAGGCACACAAACGUGAAUAAAGACAAGGUCCCUGAUCCCAAGCAGCUCAGAAUGCAGAGGUGGAGAAUGGCACUUUAAAAAGUGAUUACAGUACGGAGUGGCAAGUGCAAUCUACGAUCAAUCCUGGUUCCAGGAAUACAGGCAGCUAGCUGCGUGCUUUACCGGUGAAGAUGUGCAAAAACCAAAAAGGCAUACAGCCUGGUGAGCCACAACCGACACUUCAUCAAAUCAGAAGCAACCCACGGAAUAUUUGCCAGAUAAUUUAUAUUGUUUCACAGGGCUAAAGGCUAGUGAAUUUUCUAAAAAAGUUUAAAGAGAUUAAAAAGUAAAUAACCCAAGGGGCAUGACCGUAUAUUAUAAACUUCACUUGAGUAAACAAACCAACACCCCCAAACCCCGAACUCACUUGUGUAAUCGUAUACAUUAUAGAAAUUCCGUUAAGAUACACACAAAACUAAAUGUGGCUGCUUCUGGUGAGGGGCUCUAGAAGGCUGGGGUGGGGGAAGACUUCCUUUUUGUGUACUUUAUCCUCUGAAAUUAUUUCCCAUAUACAUGUUUUCCUUUUAAAACUGUACUUCAGACAAACAAGAAAGGCAAUAACAUAACAAGCACUUAGAUUCCCACCCCAGGGCUUAAGAAAAAAAACAAUUAAAGAUUCAAUUGAAAGCCUCUGCAUAUUCAUCCCAGGAGACAGCAACUAUCCUGAACUUGGUGUUUUCCUUCCUGUACAAACUUUUAGCAUGUGGUACUUUCUCUAUUAAACAAACCUUACAACUAAACACCAGGAUUCUAGACUCUGCGUCCUCUGCCCCCAGUAUAUACCUGCUCAAUGUGACAUUCCCGCCAAGAAGGAACCUGGUUUCCACGAUGGGGCAUGGAGAGAAGAGUGUUAGGGGAAUAAGCACACAGGGAUUUGAAUUCAGCCUCCUGCAUUUACUCCCAGGUGACCUUAGGCAGGUUCGGGUUCCUCUGAAACCAAGUUAAGUACCCACUUCACAGCUGUAAGGUUCUACGGGAUCACUAGACUGGCCUAUGGCGAAGGCUCCAUAAAUGCCACCUAUUAUUAUUAUUCCUCUCCCCAAGGGUAGGGGCGAGGAAGACAACGAAAUGUGGGGUCGUUAAU